rnacentral:rRNA from 1 species
UACGGGGGGAGCAAGCGUUGUUCGGAUUUACUGGGCGUAAAGGGCGCGUAGACGGCCAGCACAAGUCAGUUGUGAAAUCUCCGAGCUUAACUCGGAAAGGUCAACUGAUACUGUGCGGCUAGAGUGCGGAAGGGGCAACUGGAAUUCUUGGUGUAGCGGUGAAAUGCGCAGAUAUCAGGAGGAACACCGGUGGCGAAGGCGGAUCUCUGGGCCUUACCUGACGCUCAGGCGCGAAAAGCUAGGGGGAGCGAACAGG